rnacentral:lncRNA from 1 species
UAACCUUAUAUUAUAAACAGUUGUUUAUUAUGAUUAUUUAUUAUUGUUUUCUCAUAUUUUGCAAUUGUUAAGUUGGUUUACUUCGAAUUUAAUAUGCAUUACUGUGGUAUUUCUCCAGUUUUCUAAGAAGUUUGGUGAUUUUGAAUUGGGAUUAUGAUGAAUUUAACCCAAAGGCAAUGUGUGUUUAUUUAUGUGGCAAAAUUCCAGGCACCAUAAAAAUUUGAGUUUCUUCCUGUUGCCCAUGGAUGAAAUCGGUUUGCAGAAUGAAAAGAAAUUGUUCAAUGUGAUAUACUUUCUAUGAACAGUCCUCAAUAUUGUUACAUUAACUUUUAAAUAUGCACUUUACAUCUUGAGGAGCAGGCCUUUGCAGAAAUACUGAAAAGCGGGUUGCAAAACAACGCAAAAUAAAACAAACGAAAUAUGUCUUGAGAUUAAACAUUCAAGUUGCAGGUGUGUUCUUUCUUAAACUGAAAUGAUAAUUUUGUAAUUCUGUAGGCACAUCUAUUGAGAAGUUACAACCAGUGGUAAAGUGCCUUAAGGGAAUCUAUGACAUAUAAUUGAAGGGACAUCUCCUCUGAAGGAAUUACAAUUAUUUGCCAGUAUGUCAAAUGAAUUUUCAACAUCAGUCAUACUUUCAUGAAUUUAUUGAUGAAAAUAAAACUAGGUACAUGAUUUAUUAUUUACUUCCAAGGGAUUCUAAGAUACUAUGUGUAAAAAGUCCAAUAUGCAGUGAUGAGCAUGCUAAUAACUGGCAAAAUAUGGGAUAUAACGCCAAAGAUGGGAAACAUGGGAUGCAUUCUGAAAUAAAAAGAGAUGAAACUGAGAGAAAUUAUCCAUAUAAACAUAUAAAUCAACAUUACAUUACAUAGUUUCCCACCUUUAGACGUAUCAGAUGAGUAUGAGAACUGUCACUGUGACAGGAGAAUUUUAUAAAAUACUCCUGUCACAGAGAUCUAAAGGUUGGAAACUAUGUAAUGUUAUCAUCGGCUAAGAGUGUUAACCUGCUAACCCCAUUUUUCACUGUGAGUGAUAUUGGGGUAGUUUCUAGGUCUGUGUACCUUCAUACCAUGUCCCACAAGCCCGCUGGUUCCACUGUAGUUUAGAGAUAGCUAUUUCUAAACUACAUUGGUGUCGGCGGGUUUGUGGGGUGGUGUAUGAAAAUACACAGACCCAGAAACUAGCCCAAUAUCACUCAAAGUGAAAAAUGGAGUUAGCAGGUUAAAACUCUUAUCCAACGUUAUGUUAAGUUAUUCGUUUAUAACGAUAAUUUCCACUUUUACCAGUUUCAUCUCUUUUUAUCUCACAAGUUAAUAUGUUUUCCAUCUUUUGCGUUAUUUUGCCGGUUAUUAGUGUGAGUGCUCAUUACUGUCUAUUUACGAUUCUGUGAUUUCUCAAUAUGAUGCUGAGUAGGUAUAGAUGAGUAUCUACAACCCUUUCAAAACAGAAAUUUAUGAGUUCAUUUUAUGUACCUAUUAAACUUUAUUUUAAGGAUGAAUUUGAAAUGCUUGUAGGGAAUAUAUCUGUAAAAAUAAAAUUGGUAUUGUAAAAUUGAAAUUCUCAAAAUAUAAUUUAUAAUUCGAA